AGCAGCCGCCGCGGUAAUACAGAGGGUGCGAGCGUUAAUCGGAUUUACUGGGCGUAAAGCGUGCGUAGGCGGCUUUUUAAGUCGGAUGUGAAAUCCCUGAGCUUAACUUAGGAAUUGCAUUCGAUACUGGGAAGCUAGAGUAUGGGAGAGGAUGGUAGAAUUCCAGGUGUAGCGGUGAAAUGCGUAGAGAUCUGGAGGAAUACCGAUGGCGAAGGCAGCCAUCUGGCCUAAUACUGACGCUGAGGUACGAAAGCAUGGGGAGCAAACAGGAUUAGAGACCCCUGUAGUCCCUGUCUCUUAUAC
rnacentral:rRNA from 1 species